AACGGACAGUAGCUCAGCCUGGUAGAGCACCAGCCCUUUGGGCAAGUCUUGUUCAACUCUCGUCGCCGUAACCCUUUGACGAAAUUCGCAGAAUUGCCGUGGCGAAUGCCGGUGGGACUACAUGUCUCCAACCGAAGGUCCGACGAGUAAAGCGCCCUGAUCCGCCAAAUCUCCUUCGGGGGACGCGGUGACGGGAGAUGCGGGUUCGAAUCCCGCCGCCG
rnacentral:tRNA from 1 species